AGAGUUUGAUCCUGGCUCAGGAUGAACGCUAGCGGCAAGCUUAAUACAUGCAAGUCGAGGGGCAGCAUGAAGUAGCAAUACUUUGAUGGCGACCGGCAAACGGGUGCGGAACACGUACACAACCUUCCUUUUAGUGGGGAAUAGCCCAGAGAAAUUUGGAUUAAUACCCCGUAACAUGACCGAGUGGCAUCACUUGGUUAUUAUAGCUUCGGCGCUAAAUGAUGGGUGUGCGUAUGAUUAGAUAGUUGGCGAGGUAACGGCUCACCAAGUCUACGAUCAUUAGCUGAUGUGAGAGCAUGAUCAGCCACACGGGCACUGAGACACGGGCCCGACUCCUACGGGAGGCAGCAGUAAGGAAUAUUGGUCAAUGGACGCAAGUCUGAACCAGCUAUGCCGCGUGAAGGAUUAAGGUCCUCUGGAUUGUAAACUUCUUUUAUCUGGGACGAAAAAAGGUCUUUCUAGACCCCUUGACGGUACCAGAUGAAUAAGCACCGGCUAACUCCGUGCCAGCAGCCGCGGUAAUACGGAGGGUGCAAGCGUUAUCCGGAUUCACUGGGUUUAAAGGGUGCGUAGGCGGGUAGGUAAGUCAGUGGUGAAAUCCUGGAGCUCAACUCCAGAACUGCCAUUGAUACUAUCUAUCUUGAAUAUUGUGGAGGUAAGCGGAAUAUGUCAUGUAGCGGUGAAAUGCUUAGAUAUGACAUAGAACACCCAUUGCGAAGGCAGCUUACUACGCAUAUAUUGACGCUGAGGCACGAAAGCGUGGGGAUCAAACAGGAUUAGAUACCCUGGUAGUCCACGCCCUAAACGAUGGAUACUCGACAUACGCGAUACACUGUGUGUGUCUGAGCGAAAGCAUUAAGUAUCCCACCUGGGAAGUACGUUCGCAGAAUGAAACUCAA
rnacentral:rRNA from 1 species